GGAUAACACCGGUAAACCGGUGCUAAUACCGAAUAUUGAAACAUAAGUGGCAUCACUGAGUUUUGAAAGAAUUUCGGUGGAGGAUGACUUCGCGGCCUAUCAGCUAGUUGGUGAGGUAAUGGCUCACCAAGGCAACGACGGGUAGCCGGCCUGAGAGGGCGACCGGCCACACUGGGACUGAGACACGGCCCAGACUCCUACGGGAGGCAGCAGUGGGGAAUAUUGGGCAAUGGAGGAAACUCUGACCCAGCGACGCCGCGUGCGGGAUGAAGGCCUUCGGGUUGUAAACCGCUUUCAGUAGGGAAGAAGCGAAAGUGACGGUACCUACAAAAGAAGCACCGGCUAACUAUGUGCCACCAGCCGCGGUAAUACAUAGGGUGCAAGCGUUGUCCGGAAUUAUUGGGCGUAAAGAGCUCGUA
rnacentral:rRNA from 1 species